UUGAACGCUGGCGGCAUGCCUUACACAUGCAAGUCGAACGGUAACAGGGAGCUUGCUCCGCUGACGAGUGGCGAACGGGUGAGUAAUAUAUCGGAACGUACCUUUGAGUGGGGGAUAACUAGUCGAAAGACUAGCUAAUACCGCAUACGAUCUACGGAUGAAAGUGGGGGAUCGCAAGACCUCAUGCUCAUAGAGCGGCCGAUAUCUGAUUAGCUAGUUGGUGAGGUAAAGGCUCACCAAGGCUUCGAUCAGUAGCUG
rnacentral:rRNA from 1 species